CACGUAGGGCGCAAGCGUUGUCCGGAAUUAUUGGGCGUAAAGAGCUCGUAGGCGGUCUGUUGCGUCCGCUGUGAAAACCCGGGGCUUAACCCUGGGCUGGCAGUGGAUACGGACAGACUAGAGGUAGGUAGGGGAGAAUGGAAUUCCCGGUGUAGCGGUGAAAUGCGCAGAUAUCGGGAGGAACACCGGUGGCGAAAGCGGCUCACUGGACCACAACUGACGCUGAUGCACGAAAGCUAGGGGAGCAAACAGG
rnacentral:rRNA from 1 species